AUACGGAAGGUCCGGGCGUUAUCCGGAUUUAUUGGGUUUAAAGGGAGCGCAGGCGGAGAUGCAAGCGUGGCGUCAAAUUUCGGGGCUCAACCCCGUCUCGCGUCGCGAACUGCGUCCCUUGGUUGCGGGAAGGGGAGGCGGAACUCGUGGUGUAGCGGUGAAAUGCAUAGAUAUCACGAAGAACUCCGAUCGCGAAGGCCGCCAGCGCGCCCGUCAACGACGCUCAUGCUCGAAGGUGCGGGUAUCAAACAGGAUUAGAUGCCCUGGUAGUCCGCACAGUAAACGAUGGACACCCGCGGUUUGGCCUGUAUGGCUGAGCCGCCAAGCGAAAGCGUUAAGUGUCCCCCCUGGGGAGUACGGCGGCAACGGUGAAACUCAAAGGAAUUGACGGGG
rnacentral:rRNA from 1 species